AAUUCGAUUAGAGUUUGAUCCUGGCUCAGAUUGAACGCUGGCGGCGUGCUUAACACAUGCAAGUCGUGCGAGAAAGGUUCCUUCGGGGACUGAGUAGAGCGGCGCACGGGUGAGUAACGCGUGGGUGACCUACCCAGGAGACCGGGAUAACAGUGGGAAACUGCUGCUAAUACCGGGUACGCUUCAUAUUUCACGUAUGGGGGAAAGGCGGCCUCUGCUUGCAAGCUGCCACUCUUGGAUGGGCCCGCGUCUCAUUAGCUUGUUGGUAGGGUAACGGCCUACCAAGGCGACGAUGAGUAGCUGGUCUGAGAGGAUGAUCAGCCACACUGGGACUGGAACACGGCCCAGACUCCUACGGGAGGCAGCAGUGGGGAAUAUUGCGCAAUGGGCGAAAGCCUGACGCAGCGACGCCGCGUGAGGGAAGAAGGCCUUCGGGUCGUAAACCUCUGUCAGGAGGGAAGAAACCAUGGGAGUCGAAUAGGCUCUCGUGCUGACGGUACCUCCGGAGGAAGCACCGGCUAACUCCGUGCCAGCAGCCGCGGUAAUACGGAGGGUGCAAGCGUUAAUCGGAAUCACUGGGCGUAAAGCGCACGUAGGCGGUGCCGUAAGUCGGAUGUGAAAGCCCUCGGCUCAACCGGGGAACUGCAUUCGAUACUGCGGUGCUUGAGUGUCGGAGAGGGUGGCGGAAUUCCAGGUGUAGGAGUGAAAUCCGUAGAUAUCUGGAGGAA
rnacentral:rRNA from 1 species